rnacentral:rRNA from 1 species
GCGCGUAAAUUGCCCGAAUCCUGACACAGGGAGGUAGUGACAAGAAAUAACAAUACAGGGCCUUUUUGGUCUUGUAAUUGGAAUGAGUACAAUUUACAUCUCUUCACGAGGAUCAAUUGGAGGGCAAGUCUGGUGCCAGCAGCCGCGGUAAUUCCAGCUCCAAUAGCGUAUAUUAAAGUUGUUGCAGUUAAAACGCUCGUAGUCGGAUUUCGGGGCGGGCGGGCCGGUCUGCCGAUGGGUAUGCACUGGUUUGCGCGUCCUUCCUUCCGGAGACCAUGCCUACUCUUCACUGAGCGGGUAUGGGAGACGGAAUUUUUACUUUGAAAAAAUCAGAGUGUUUCAAGCAGGCAUUUCGCUUUUGCAUGGAUUAGCAUGGGAUAAUAAAAUAGGACUUUGGUGCUAUUUUGUUGGUUUCGAACACCGAAGUAAUGAUUAACAGGGACAGUCAGGGGCACUCGUAUUCC